UUUGGUUAAGUUAGAAAGGGCGCACGGUGGAUGCCUUGACACUAGGAGUCGAUGAAGGACGGGACUAACGCCGAUAUGCUUCGGGGAGCUGUAAGUAAGCUUUGAUCCGAAGAUUUCCGAAUGGGGAAACCCACCAUACGUAAUGGUAUGGUAUCCUUAUCUGAAUACAUAGGGUAAGGAAGACAGACCCAGGGAACUGAAACAUCUAAGUACCUGGAGGAAGAGAAAGCAAAUGCGAUUUCCUGAGUAGCGGCGAGCGAAACGGAACAUAGCCCAAACCAAGAGGCUUGCCUCUUGGGGUUGUAGGACAUUCUAUACGGAGUUACAAAGGAACGAGGUAGACGAAGCGACCUGGAAAGGUCCGUCGUAGAGGGUAACAACCCCGUAGUCGAAACUUCGUUCUCUCUUGAAUGUAUCCUGAGUACGGCGGAACACGUGAAAUUCCGUCGGAAUCUGGGAGGACCAUCUCCCAAGGCUAAAUACUCCCUAGUGAUCGAUAGUGAACCAGUACCGUGAGGGAAAGGUGAAAAGCACCCCGGAAGGGGAGUGAAAGAGAUCCUGAAACCGUGUGCCUACAAAUAGUCAGAGCCCGUUAACGGGUGAUGGCGUGCCUUUUGUAGAAUGAACCGGCGAGUUACGAUCCCGUGCGAGGUUAAGCUGAAGAGGCGGAGCCGCAGCGAAAGCGAGUCUGAAUAGGGCGUUUAGUACGUGGUCGUAGACCCGAAACCAGGUGAUCUACCCAUGUCCAGGGUGAAGUUCAGGUAACACUGAAUGGAGGCCCGAACCCACGCACGUUGAAAAGUGCGGGGAUGAGGUGUGGGUAGCGGAGAAAUUCCAAUCGAACCUGGAGAUAGCUGGUUCUCCCCGAAAUAGCUUUAGGGCUAGCCUUAAGUGUAAGAGUCUUGGAGGUAGAGCACUGAUUGGACUAGGGGUCCUCAUCGGAUUACCGAAUUCAGUCAAACUCCGAAUGCCAAUGACUUAUCCUUAGGAGUCAGACUGCGAGUGAUAAGAUCCGUAGUCAAAAGGGAAACAGCCCAGACCGCCAGCUAAGGUCCCAAAGUGUGUAUUAAGUGGAAAAGGAUGUGGAGUUGCUUAGACAACUAGGAUGUUGGCUUAGAAGCAGCCACCAUUUAAAGAGUGCGUAAUAGCUCACUAGUCGAGUGACUCUGCGCCGAAAAUGUACCGGGGCUAAAUACACCACCGAAGCUGCGGAUUGAUACCAAUGGUAUCAGUGGUAGGGGAGCGUUCUAAGGACAGUGAAGUCAGACCGUAAGGACUGGUGGAGUGCUUAGAAGUGAGAAUGCCGGUAUGAGUAGCGAAAGACGGGUGAGAAUCCCGUCCACCGAAUGCCUAAGGUUUCCUGAGGAAGGCUCGUCCGCUCAGGGUUAGUCAGGACCUAAGCCGAGGCCGACAGGCGUAGGCGAUGGACAACAGGUUGAUAUUCCUGUACCACCUCUUUAUCGUUUGAGCAAUGGAGGGACGCAGAAGGAUAGAAGAAGCGUGCGAUUGGUUGUGCACGUCCAAGCAGUUAGGCUGAUAAGUAGGCAAAUCCGCUUAUCGUGAAGGCUGAGCUGUGAUGGGGAAGCUCCUUAUGGAGCGAAGUCUUUGAUUCCCCGCUGCCAAGAAAAGCUUCUAGCGAGAUAAAAGGUGCCUGUACCGCAAACCGACACAGGUAGGCGAGGAGAGAAUCCUAAGGUGUGCGAGAGAACUCUGGUUAAGGAACUCGGCAAAAUGACCCCGUAACUUCGGGAGAAGGGGUGCUUUCUUAACGGAAAGCCGCAGUGAAUAGGCCCAAGCGACUGUUUAGCAAAAACACAGCUCUCUGCGAAGCCGUAAGGCGAAGUAUAGGGGGUGACACCUGCCCGGUGCUGGAAGGUUAAGGAGAGGGGUUAGCGUAAGCGAAGCUCUGAACUGAAGCCCCAGUAAACGGCGGCCGUAACUAUAACGGUCCUAAGGUAGCGAAAUUCCUUGUCGGGUAAGUUCCGACCCGCACGAAAGGUGUAACGAUUUGGGCACUGUCUCAACCAGAGACUCGGUGAAAUUAUAGUACCUGUGAAGAUGCAGGUUACCCGCGACAGGACGGAAAGACCCCGUGGAGCUUUACUGUAGCCUGAUAUUGAAUUUUGGUACAGUUUGUACAGGAUAGGCGGGAGCCUUUGAAACCGGAGCGCUAGCUUCGGUGGAGGCGCUGGUGGGAUACCGCCCUGACUGUAUUGAAAUUCUAACCUACGGGUCUUAUCGACCCGGGAGACAGUGUCAGGUGGGCAGUUUGACUGGGGCGGUCGCCUCCUAAAGUGUAACGGAGGCGCCCAAAGGUUCCCUCAGAAUGGUUGGAAAUCAUUCGUAGAGUGCAAAGGCAUAAGGGAGCUUGACUGCGAGACCUACAAGUCGAGCAGGGACGAAAGUCGGGCUUAGUGAUCCGGUGGUUCCGCAUGGAAGGGCCAUCGCUCAACGGAUAAAAGCUACCCCGGGGAUAACAGGCUUAUCUCCCCCAAGAGUCCACAUCGACGGGGAGGUUUGGCACCUCGAUGUCGGCUCAUCGCAUCCUGGGGCUGUAGUCGGUCCCAAGGGUUGGGCUGUUCGCCCAUUAAAGCGGUACGCGAGCUGGGUUCAGAACGUCGUGAGACAGUUCGGUCCCUAUCCGUCGUGGGCGUAGGAAAUUUGAGAGGAGCUGUCCUUAGUACGAGAGGACCGGGAUGGACGCACCGCUGGUGUACCAGUUGUUCUGCCAAGGGCAUAGCUGGGUAGCUAUGUGCGGAAGGGAUAAGUGCUGAAAGCAUCUAAGCAUGAAGCCCCCCUCAAGAUGAGAUUUCCCAUAGCGUAAGCUAGUAAGAUCCCUGAAAGAUGAUCAGGUUGAUAGGUUCGAGGUGGAAGCAUGGUGACAUGUGGAGCUGACGAAUACUAAUAGAUCGAGGACUUAACCAUAUAA
rnacentral:rRNA from 3 species